rnacentral:rRNA from 1 species
GGAGAUAGCUGGUUCUCCCCGAAAGCUAUUUAGGUAGCGCCUCGUGAACUCAUCUUCGGGGGUAGAGCACUGUUUCGGCUAGGGGGUCAUCCCGACUUACCAACCCGAUGCAAACUACGAAUACCGAAGAAUGUUAUCACGGGAGACACACGGCGGGUGCUAACGUCCGUCGUGAAGAGGGAAACAACCCAGACCGCCAGCUAAGGUCCCAAAGUCAUGGUUAAGUGGGAAACGAUGUGGGAAGGCACAGACAGCCAGGAUGUUGGCUUAGAA